rnacentral:rRNA from 1 species
UACAGAGGGUGCGAGCGUUAAUCGGAUUUACUGGGCGUAAAGGGCGCGUAGGUGGUUAGAUAAGUUAUAUGUGAAAUCCCUGGGCUUAACCUAGGAACUGCAUGUAAGACUGUUUGACUGGAGUACGGUAGAGGGUAGUGGAAUUUCCGGUGUAGCGGUGAAAUGCGUAGAUAUCGGAAGGAACACCAGUGGCGAAGGCGGCUACCUGGACUGAUACUGACACUGAGGCGCGAGAGCGUGGGUAGCAAACAGG